GGCUCAGAACGAACGCUGGCGGCGUGCUUAACACAUGCAAGUCGAACGCGAAAGGGACUUCGGUCCUGAGUAAAGUGGCGCACGGGUGAGUAACGCGUAGAUAACCUGUCUUCAUGUCUGGAAUAAUACGCCGAAAGGGGUACUAAUACCGGAUAUUCUUGCUUUUCAUAAGUUAUGCAAGCAAAGGUGGCCUCUGCAUAUGCUACUGCAUGAAGAGGGGUCUGCGUACCAUUAGCUAGUAGGUGGGGUAAUGGCCUACCUAGGCGACGAUGGUUAGCGGGUCUGAGAGGAUGAUCCGCCACACUGGCACUGGAACACGGGCCAGACUCCUACGGGAGGCAGCAGUGAGGAAUAUUGCGCAAUGGGGGAAACCCUGACGCAGCGACGCCGCGUGAGUGAGGAAGGCCUUCGGGUCGUAAAGCUCUGUCAAGAGGAAAGAAGUGUACAAUGGCUAAUACCUGUUGUAUUUGACGGUACCUCUAAAGGAAGCACCGGCUAACUCCGUGCCAGCAGCGGC
rnacentral:rRNA from 1 species